rnacentral:sRNA from 1 species
GAAUGUGUGAGGAGCGAACCAGAAGAGAUGCCGAGACGAAACACGGCCAGUCGUCGGCAUCUCUUUUGUU